rnacentral:rRNA from 1 species
AUACGGGGGAUGCAAGCGUUAUUCGGAAUCAUUGGGCGUAAAGGGCACGCAGGCGGUUCUGUCAGUCAGAUGUGAAAGCCCGGGGCUUAACCCCGGACGUGCAUUUGAAACAGCAGGACUUGAGUAUGAGAGAGGAAAGCGGAAUUCCUGGUGUAGAGGUGAAAUUCGUAGAUAUCAGGAGGAACACCGGUGGCGAAGGCGGCUUUCUGGACCAAAACUGACGCUGAGGUGCGAAGGCGUGGGUAGCGAACAGGAUUAGAUACCCUAGUAGUCC